UACGUAGGGUGCGAGCGUUGUCCGGAAUUAUUGGGCGCAAAGAGCUCGUAGGCGGUUCGGCAAGUCGGAUGUGAAAUCUCCACGCUUAACGUGGAGGGGCCAUUCGAAACUGCUGUGACUCGAGUCCGGUAGGGGAGUGUGGAAUUCCCGGUGUAGCGGUGAAAUGCGCAGAUAUCAGGAGGAACACCGGUGGCGAAGGCGGGUCUCUGGGCCGAUACUGACGCUGAGGAGCGAAAGCAUGGGUAGCGAACAGG
rnacentral:rRNA from 1 species